GGCAGGCCUGAGUGCCAGGCCUGAGUGCCAGGCCGACCGCAGCUGGAGAGCCCCUCUUCCCACUCCUGCCUGCCCUCCCGCUCCGGAUCAGCGCCUUACAACUCUUCACUUUGAAGUGCGUGUUGUGCCCUUGUCUCCGGAGACGCCAAGAGUCCUCCAGGCCCCUCGAGCGAAGUGCAGCCUGACCCAAUUUCUCUGGCCCUACUUUUAUCUCCGCAUCCACGACCCACCCUCCAAGACCCACCUUCUAUGGGCGUGGAGCCCCCGUAGGCUUCAAGGACUCACCACAGGAUUUCCACCAGUCUGAAAUCCUGAGCAACCCCAACGAUCUGCUGCUCAGAUCCCUGCGGGCUGCUGGCGACACAGACCCUGCCACUGCAGCCAGACUUCCUCCGCGCUGCUGGCGCUGGCAACACUCGGCCUACCCGUGACCCCUGCGCGCGCCCGAGCGCCCCGGGAUGGCCUUUAUCCGUCAGGGAUUUUACUUAGCAAUUAAAUAAGUUUGCAGGAUUUCUUGCCGGAGACCCAAGGCCUGUACUCAGGAUCUUGGCUCGGUCUAAACUCUCUGAAUAAAAUUAAAGCGUGUAUUGAAGAUGAUGUGGGAGGGAUGGGUCCAAGGUUCCCUCUGAUCUCUACAUGCUUGAAAAACCAGAACCACCGGUAUGAAGUCGCCGUGUAAAAAUUUCUCAGACCUGGGACAGGUUCAAGCCAGGCCUUGGAGACUGCUCUCCAGGACGCCAUCCGAGGGGCUCCUAGAGCAGUUUUCUAAGGACUCAGGAGAGAGCUGAAAAAUCCUAAAAGAGUGGGGAAUUUCUGAUUCUCCUGCUAGGUUUCUGAAAAAGGAAAAAAAAAAAAAAAAAAAAG
rnacentral:lncRNA from 1 species